UACAUUUUAUAAAUAUCUAAUUUACUGAAAAUGAUUGUAGUUAAGGACUGUUAGAGAGACGCAGGUCAUCCUGAUAUUCUGAUGCAUAGAAUCACAAAUCUAAAUCUAAACUGUCACAGAGAGUAAACACAAUAAAACAUGAUUUAUCUGCAGCUUUAAAUGGCUCAUUACUGAUGUAGUACAAUUAAUGUGAUCGGUACACUUAAUGAUAUUGUAUUAACCAUUAGGUAAAACAUUCAGCAAGUACUUUUACUUUUAAUAAUUUAAAUAUUUUAAAUACUUAAUCAAGUAAAAAUGUUAAUGUGGUUCUUUUACUAGAGAACAUUUUUGUCUGUUUAUUUGUACUUUUACUUCAGUACAUUGUUUGAGUUCUUUCUCCACCUCUGGUGAGCAGCCAGUAGGUGGCGCUAGAGUCAGGAGGAGGCAGCCUGGAGAAAAGGCUGUUCCUCCCUGAUCUGUUUCCAAGCAGUCAGAGUGUAGAAGUUGAGAGCUGGAGAAGUUUCCUCCUGUUGCUGCAGCAGCAGAGAUGUUCUGCUUCAUGGACUAAAUCAGGUUGGAAAGAGGAGAGAUCUUUACUGAGCUGCUGGAUAAAAGCUUCUGAAACAUUUCAACUCUUUCUGGAAACUAAUGAGACAUAAAAACAAUGGAUGUUUUUACCAUCCAGACCUUUAGAACCAGUUCAGGUCAAUAAUUAUAUUCUUCUUCUUAUAAGCUUCUUCUUGGCCUCUGAUUGCAACAGCAGGACAAUCCAACAUUUUAGUCUGACUUCAUCUGGAAAUAUUUCUUUGACCCUGAAUCAGUUUGAAGGCAGGCCAGCUCCUCAUCAGAGCUGAGAUCUUCUCUGUCCUCCAUGCUGGAAAUGUACAAGUCCAGCAGCUCCUGAUCAGUGACAUCAGAGCGUGACAUCAUCAGUAGAACGAUGAUGUCAUUUCCCUCUCAGAGCAGCUUGGAAAUCUGAGAGGAAAGAUGCAAACAAAGACUCUCUGGACUGUUGGAUCUGCUGGUUCUGGUUCCAGAUGCUCCUUGGACACUUUCACAAGCCAUUACUGCAGCUGCUGGAUUCAGGAUGCUGCUUCUUCUUCUUGGUCUCAUUGUAAAUGUGUGCAGCAGCGCCACCUGGUGGUGUUGGUUGGUAGAGGAAGUGCUGAAAGGUUGGAGGUGUUUGUCAGAGGUGUGUGAUGAUGGAAGCCUCUCCCUGGUUUGUGAGUCUGAGCUCAGAGAUCAAAUCUUUGAUUCUUGUUGAACUCUUUGUUGAAUGUGAUGCAGCUUCUCCUUUUUAAUGUUUGUAUUUCUGGAUAUUACAGUGAGGCCACAGCAGGUUUUCAGCAGCAGGGCUGUUUAGUGUUUCAUUCCUUCAUCUGUGUGUGGGAGUGUGGAUGGAACAGGUAUCCAGGUGUUGUGUCAGAGUUUAGAUUGAUUGUAUUUUAAUGCUGAUUAUUAAAUCAGGUUGAGCUUCCAGAAAUGUUUCCUUAGUUUCCUGAUGUCCUUUUAGGCUUCAGUGAGUUUCUUCAGGUUGUUACUGAGGGAUUUCCUUUCUCCUCUCUGUUGGAGCUUUUCCUGUGUUUGGAGAAAUGAGUUGUGCUGCAGCAGCACCAACUGUCCUUCCUACAUCCACUGCAGUUUGCAAUCCAAAUGUUGGACUGUUCCUGUCUCAGUGGAGGACAAUGUGUGUCUGAGAGACAUGUAAUGUCCAUGUUUGCUGCUGAAAGAGACUGAUGGUCUGACCCCCCUCCUCCUUUCAGGGUGGAGCCUGCUGGAGUCCCAUUCUUGACACCAGGUCUGAGGAAGUAUUCCUGUCAACUCACCAUCGACACAAACACAGUGAACAGAAAACUCAAACUGUCUGAAGACAACAGGAAGGUGACAUUGUGAAGGAGCUUCAGUCAUAUCCUGAUCAUCCAGACAGAUUUGAUUAUCAUCAGCUGCUGUGUAGAACUGGUCUGACUGGUCGCUGUUACUGGGAGGUUGAGUGGAGAGGAGAGUUGAUAUAUCAGUGAGUUACAGAAGAAUCAGGAGGAAAGGAACAGUAGAGACUGUUGGUUUGGAUAAUGAUCAUUCCUGGAGUCUGAGCUGCUCUGAUGUUGGUUACUCUGUCUGGCACAAUGACAUAGAAACUCG